rnacentral:tRNA from 1 species
CGCUAAGAAGCUAAACAGGGUCUAAGCAUUAGCCUUUUAAGCUAAAAAAUGGUGCUUCCCAACCACCCCUAGCGA